CCCUAAACAGCAACCACUUAAUUUUUUAUAAUUUCUUUAUCUAAGGAGGACGUGUCCAUUUAAGAUUUUAUAAUCUUUCUCCACUCUCUCUCUACAUCUUCUCACUUUUACAAGUAGCCCCUUGAUGUGAUCCGAAAUACGUCUCAAAAUUGCAAUGAAUUAAUGCAUGUUGGCAAGAGGUCGAGUUUGAGAUUUGAGCUAAGUUGGGCGCCAAUUGGAGAUAAUAAAAUCAUGCAAUUAAUUACUCAAGCUAUGGGAGACAAAAUGAUGAAGUUUACAAACCAAGGACUAAGUUUAAUGUUGGAGCCGAGGUCCAAAUCAUUUGGGAGCGGCUUGUUAAUUUCAGCCGAACACGGAGCCAAAAUUCAUAACUAUGCGACUGCAUAGUUAUCUAAGGAAUGCGACCGCAAUAGAUCAUGCAAGGAUUUUAUGGGCAGCAAGGGUUUCUUCUAUGCGACCGAAUAGAAAUACUCUAUGCUGCUGCAUAGAUCAAAAUCGAGGCAGAAUCUUUUAUUUCGUGCAAGUUUUCUAUUUUCACUAGAAUUCUAUUUUAGGUGAUAUUUUUGUGAUCCUUAAUCAAUAUUUUCCGUUUUUAAUUAGUUUUUAGGUUUUAGUAUAAAUAGGGAUAUUAUUUUCAUUGUUAA
rnacentral:lncRNA from 1 species